rnacentral:rRNA from 1 species
UACGUAGGGGGCAAGCGUUGUCCGGAUUUAUUGGGCGUAAAGAGCGUGUAGGCGGCCAGGUAGGUGGGUUGUGAAAACUGGAGGCUCAACCUUCAGACGUCGACCCAAACCCCCUGGCUAGAGUCCGGAAGAGGAGAGUGGAAUUCCUGGUGUAGCGGUGAAAUGCGCAGAUAUCAGGAAGAACACCCGUGGCGAAGGCGGUCU